rnacentral:rRNA from 1 species
UACGUAGGGUGCAAGCGUUAAUCGGAAUUACUGGGCGUAAAGCGUGCGCAGGCGGUUGGGCAAGACAGAUGUGAAAUCCCCGGGCUCAACCUGGGAAUUGCAUUUGUGACUGUACGGCUAGAGUGUGUCAGAGGGGGGGUAGAAUUCCACGUGUAGCAGUGAAAUGCGUAGAGAUGUGGAGGAAUACCGAUGGCGAAGGCAGCCCCCUGGGAUAACACUGACGCUCAUGCACGAAAGCGUGGGGAGCAAACAGG